rfam:Otolemur garnettii contig097650, whole genome shotgun sequence.
CUAUAAAAGAUGUAACAGAUGCAAACUGUAACACAAGGGCCAUUAACCCUUUCCCUGCCAGGCACACUCGGUCCCCACGCCCCGCACCUAUUGUCUCCUGUGCUAGAAGCUUUGCAGAAAACCUGGAA